GACGAACCGUGCGAACGUUAUUCGGAAUCACUGGGCUUAAAGCGCGUGUAGGCGGCCCGGCACGUCCGUCGCUGAAAUCCCCCGGCUCAACCGGGGAAGUGGCGGGGAUACGGCCGGGCUGGAGGGGGGUAGGGGGAGCCGGAACUUCCGGUGGAGCGGUGAAAUGCGUAGAUAUCUGGAGGAACACCGGUGGCGAAGGCGGCAUUCUGGACCAUUACUGACGCUGAGGAGCGAAAGCCAGGGGAGCAAACGGG
rnacentral:rRNA from 1 species